rnacentral:lncRNA from 1 species
GAAACCACUUACUGUAAUGGUUUGUGGGUGAUACCCAAUGCCAUCCAGGAAGAGUUAAGAGAGUCUUACAGGAAACUGGUCUUGAAUUACUACCCUGGUGAGAAUCCAAAUAACAAACAGAAGUGUAAACAGAUUUCUCAAGCUUAUGAAGUGCUCUCUGAAGCAAAGAAAAUUGAAUUAUUUGAGAAAAGAGGAGAGUGGGCAAUUAAAAAGGGUGAAGUGAGUGGCAGUUUUGGCUCCCUCAUGGACAUCGUUGAUAUGUUAUUUGAAGGAAGAGGAAGGAUGCAGAGAGAAAAAGAGGUAAAAAUAUUGUGCAUCAGCUCUCAGUAACCACAGAAGAUGUAUUUAAUGGUGCAACAAGAAAAUUAGCUCCAUAAAAUAAUGUGAUUUGUGGCAAGUAUGUAGGCCAAGGUGGUAAGAAAGGGGCAGUAGAGUGCUGUCCCAAUCACUGAAGUACUAGAAUGCAAAUAAGAAUUCAUCAGAUACGACCUAGAAUGGCUCAAGAAUUUCAGUCUGUGUGCAUGGAAUGCCAGAGCCAUGGGGAGGAGAUCAGUCCUAAAGAUAGAUGUAAAAGUUGCAAUGGAAGGAGGAUAGUUUGAGAGAAGAAGAUUCUACAAGUUCAUGACAAAGGCGUGAAAGACGAACAGUAGAUAUCUUUCAUGGUGAAGGAGAUCAGGAGCCAGGAGAUAUUAUCAUUGUUUUAGAUCAGAAGGACCAUACUUUCUUAUUCGACCAGAAGACCUUUUCAUGUGUAUGAACAUAAAACUGAUUGAAGCACUGCAUGUCUUCCAAAAGCCAAUAUCCACCCUUGACAACCAAACCCCAGUCAACACCUCUCAUCCCCCAACUCAGAUUGUCAAGCAUAGAGAUAUUAAGUGUGCGCUAAAUGAAGGCAUGCCAGUUUAUUGUAGAUCCUAUGAAAAGGAUCACCUAAUCAUCAAAUUUAAGGCCUACUUCCGUGAGAAUGCCUUUCUGUCUCCUGAUAAACUCUCUUUGCUGGAAUAACUCCUGCCUAAGAGGUAGGAAGUAAAAGACGCUGAUGAAAUGGAUCAAGUACAUCUGGUGGACAUUGACCGGUAUCAGCAAAGAUGGGCAAUUACAAUGGAGAAGCUUAGGAGGAUGAUGAACAUCAUACCAGUGGUGGUGUUCAGUGUCAAACCUCUUAA